rnacentral:rRNA from 1 species
AUGCUCAAACUAAAAUUCCUGAAUUAUAAGAUCAGGACCUUUUUAAUUCGGGAUGGCCUCUCCACCCUUUUCAAAGAAGACGGCCCAUCUAACUAUCAAGUUUAUUACCUGAGGCAAAUGAAGAAUUGGGGAACAUCAGCACGUAAACAGAAAGAGCUAGCCAAACUGUUGGAUCAAUGGGCUGUCCACAUUACAGGAAAGUGUGGCAAUAAGCCACUCUCGUCCUCAGCGUAUCUUGAUGAGGCAGAGCCUUUCCUUGAACAAUAUGCUAACCAGGAUCUGGUAGGGACGGCUGGUGUCUUGGUUCAAGCAGAAAAUUUGAGAGAUGGAGAGGAUGAUCUUCAGCCAGAACGUGGGACAGCACCUUGUAGUCCUACAACGUCUCUCGAUGCUGUUUCCAAAACUGAGGGCCUUAUUGUCUUCUUUCCUGGUAUACCUGGUUGUGCAAAGACUACUCUAUGUAGGGAAAUAUUGGAAAUGCCUGGUGGCCUUGGUGAUAAUCGCCCUCUUCAUUGUUUGACAGGAGAUCUUAUUGGAGGAAGAUACUGGCAAAAGGUUGCAGAUAAGCGAAAAGAGGAACCAUUUAGAAUAACCCUCGCCGAUAAAAACGCACCAAAUGAGGAAGUGUGGCGGCAGAUUGAGGAUAUAUGCCGGACCACGAAAGCAGCUGCUGCUCCUGUUAUUCCUGAUUCUGAAGGCACCGAUACAAAUCCAUUUUCUUUGGAAGCUCUUGCUGUUUUCAUGUUUCGUGUGCUCCAACGGGUCAAUCAUGAUGGACAUCUGGACGAGGCAUUAUGGAAUGCUGGUUAUGUUUUGCUAAAGUUUUACAACCUUUAUGAGGGCAAGAGUCGAAGUGAAUUCGAAAGCGAUCUGUAUGAGCGUUUCGGCUUCUUGGUUAAGAUGCCUCUCCUGAAGCCAGAUAGAUCUCCAUUGCCUGGUGAUGUUAGAAGUAUCUUAGAUGAGGGGCUUAGCUUAUUCAUUCAUGGAAGAGCGGAGCUAUUAGAAGGUUCAUAUGAUAGAGAAUGGGCGGAGUGGGAGAAGAGGUUGCGUGAGAUCUUGUUUGGGAAUGCUGAUUAUCUUAAAUCCAUUCAGGUUCCCUUUGAGGUUGUUGCGAAAGAAGUAGCGGAACAGUUAAAAGCUGUGGCAAAAGGUGAUACCAAAACACCUGAUACUGUGAAGCGGAGGUUUGGCAAUAUCAGUUUUGCUGCUGUGACAUUAUCCCAGGCAGAUAUAUUGGGCCUUGUCCGGAAGGUUGCAGAGAACGACACUGAUGUCAACAAUUUUCUUAACGGCAUAAAAUUAGAGGAUAACCUGAUGAAUGUGCAUGUCACCCUCGCCCACAAAAGAGCCCAUGGUGUAGCUGCAGUUGCAAGUUACAGCGUCUACCUGAACCAGAAAGUCCCCGUAUCGUUUAAUGCAUUCUUCUACAACGACAAGAUGGCUGCGCUCGGGGCACAUCUUGGAAUGGUAAAUGGUGAGGCUAUUGUCUCUGAAAAUGAUUUCCCACAUUGUACUCUAUGGACAGCCGGAGGUGUUACACCAAAGGAAGCAAACACACUGCCACAGUUGGUUUCCGAAGGAAAAGCAAAGCGGGUGUUGAUCGACUCUCCUAUCACCAUCUCUGGAGUAGUAAACUUUUAUUGA